UUCGACCGCGACCCCAGG
rnacentral:rRNA from 1 species